GGUGAGGUGUCCGAGUUGGCCGAAGGAGCUCGCCUGCUAAGCGAGUAUACGGUGUAGAGCCGUAUCGAGAGUUCAAAUCUCUCCCUCACCG
rnacentral:tRNA from 1 species